CAGUCGCCGCGGGAAUACGUAGGUGGCAAGCGUUGUCCGGAAUUAUUGGGCGUAAAGGGCUCGCAGGCGGUUUCUUAAGUCUGAUGUGAAAGCCCCCGGCUCAACCGGGGAGGGUCAUUGGAAACUGGGAAACUUGAGUGCAGAAGAGGAGAGUGGAAUUCCACGUGUAGCGGUGAAAUGCGUAGAGAUGUGGAGGAACACCAGUGGCGAAGACGACUCUCUGGUCUGUAACUGACGCUGAGGAGCGAAAGCGUGGGGAGCGAACAGGAUUAGAUACCCGAGUAGUCCCUGUCUCUUAUAC
rnacentral:rRNA from 1 species